rnacentral:misc_RNA from 1 species
GCUUCUAUUGAUCCCAUAGCACCUAUAUUUUGAGGAAUUCUUCCUGUCAGUAAAUUUUGGGACAGAUUCAAAUAAUGCAAUCCUUCUAGGCUUGUUAUUUCAUUAGGAAUCUCUCCUACUAAUUUAUUAUUUGAAAGAUCUACGCUUCUUACGAAUUUAAGAGUGGUGCAAUAUCCAUGCAUGUUCCCUUUCGUGACAAUGAAGGUGCUCUCAAAAAAUGGCCAUGAAGAAGCAUCUCCCUCCAAGAGGAUACCUAUGGAAUCAUCCUUAUUAAUCAUUGCACUGAAGUUGUUGAGACAUUUGGGUAUGGUACCGGAGAUAUUGUUAUCAGCAAAAUCCAAAAUUCGUAAAGAAGUCAUUAAACAAAGCUCUUUAGGUAUGUGGCCUUUGAAUUUAUUUGUGCGGAGAUUAAGAAUAACUAUAUCUGAAAGUGUUUCCCCAAUCCAUUUUGGAAUACUUCCUUCCAAUCCAUUUUCACCAAAGUCUAGGGUGGAUAAUUUUGUACAAUUUUGAAGCGAUGCUGGAAUUUCGCCUGAGAGAUUGUUGUUGCGAAGAUGCAGUGACUCGAGAGAGCUUAAAGUUCCAGAUUGACCAAGGAAUAUUGCCUCUAAGAUUGUUGUUUCUUAAAAUUAAGACUACCAACCAUUUCCAUUUCAUCCAACAAUCUGGUAUUUCACCUGAUAAAAGAUUUCCUCCAAGGUCU